CCCGUUUUACCGUGCGUUUCUAAAAAACAUCUUACCGGUAUUGCACUAAUGUUUUUUUCACUUAUGUCGCUUUGAAUUCACUUGUCAUUAGAUGCAAAACAAAUUGUCAUUUACGAAUAUUUAAUAAGUUAGUUGUUUAAUAAUUAAGCCAGAAGCUCUCAACCUGAGUACUUACGAAAACGCCAAUAUUCCCGAUAAACCACACUGCUUUCUGUGAUUUGCGAAGGAUGUUAAGGACUCUAGCUUGGACUAUCAUGAAGAUACAAGUGCAGAACUUUUUUAAAACCAAGUAAAAUUCAAACAACACUUUAAAAUAAUUUUCAAAAGUCGGAACAACCACAUGGAACCUAAUGAACAAACAAGCCGCCAGAUAAAAGUCCAUUUGUUGCACUCUCGAGUAAAUUCUUUAAGGCCGUUUUCAAUUUUCCCGCCAUACUCCAGAAAAUGAAAAAAUCUACGGCCCAGCGUUCUCGAGUUGAAGAGUCUGCUGCUGUUGUAGGAAUUUCGCAGCCGCAGGAAAACCCUGCAAAUCGAAUCCUGGCGGUGCCACUAUAGCCCCGGCCGCGCUGGCAGUUCCUGCAAAAUCAGUUUUCAUGGCA